rnacentral:lncRNA from 1 species
AAACACCCUUUCUUUUUUCUUCUCUUUUCUCCACAUUUUUGUUUUCUCACUUCUCUUUCUUUUUUUUUUUUUACAAUGACAAAACUAGGGGUUUGCGAAUAUGUUUUUUGUUUUAGGGGAUUUGAAGACAUGAAUUGAUUUUUUUCAUGUUCUGACAUGCUUGUAUCAGAUUUUGUUCAUUUUAUUUAAACAAUUUGAGUAUACAUUAUUUGAACAAACUCUUUUUGAUAUUUUUGAAUUUGGGAAUUUAUGUUACAGAUUAAACUAUUAAUU